rnacentral:rRNA from 1 species
GGCGGACGGGUGAGUAACGCGUAAGGAACUUGCCUCUUGGUCUGGGACAACUGUUGGAAACGACAGCUAAUACCGGAUAUUAUGAGAUUCUCGCAUGGGAAACUUAUGAAAGCUAUAUGCGCCAAGAGAGAGCCUUGCGUUCCAUUAGCUAGUUGGUGGGGUAACGGCCCACCAAGGCGACGAUGGAUAGCCGGCCUGAGAGGGUGAACGGCCACAAGGGGACUGAGACACGGCCCUUACUCCUACGGGAGGCAGCAGUGGGGAAUAUUGGACAAUGGGCCACAAGCCUGAUCCAGCAAUUCUGUGUGCACGAUGAAGGUCUUCGGAUUGUAAAGUGCUUUCAGUUGGGAAGAAGAAAGUGACGGUACCAACAGAAGAAGCGACGGCUAAAUACGUGCCAGCAGCCGCGGUAAUACGUAUGUCGCAAGCGUUAUCCGGAUUUAUUGGGCGUAAAGCGCGUCUAGGCGGAAAAAUAAGUCUGAUGUUAAAAUGCGGGGCUCAACUCCGUAUUGCGUUGGAAACUGUUUUUCUAGAGUACUGGAGAGGUGGGCGGAACUACAAGUGUAGAGGUGAAAUUCGUAGAUAUUUGUAGGAAUGCCGAUGGAGAAGUCAGCUCACUGGACAGAUACUGACGCUAAAGCGCGAAAGCGUGGGGAGCAAACAGGAUUAGAUACCCUGGUAGUCCACGCCGUAAACGAUGAUCACUAGUGUUGGGGGGUCGAACCUCAGCGCCCAAGCUAACGCGAUAAGUGAUCCCGCCUGGGGAGUACGCACGCAAGUGUGAAACUCAAAGGAAUUGA